UUCUGGUCAUUAGAGGAAGUAAAAGUCGGUUUCCGUAGGUGAACCUGCGGAAGGAUCAUUAACGAAAUGUUUGUCGAGAAGGGUUGUAGCUGGCCUCACUUGGCAUGUGCACGCCCUGAUCGCGAACUUCACCCUUCACACCUGUGCACAAUCCCGCAGCCUUUGCGACGUUGAUGAAAUGGAUUUGCUUCCAAUUUGUAUGCGUCCUUGGCUUGCGAGCUUUUUAUCACACACACACUCUUUGUCAAGUAUCAGAAUGUCUCAGCAUGUAGAAGCGCGAAACAAAUACAACUUUCAGCAACGGAUCUCUUGGCUCUCGCAUCGAUGAAGAACGCAGCGAAAUGCGAUAAGUAAUGUGAAUUGCAGAAUUCAGUGAAUCAUCGAAUCUUUGAACGCACCUUGCGCUCCUUGGUAUUCCGAGGAGCAUGCCUGUUUGAGUGUCAUGAAAUUAUCAACUGCCUUUGAUGGGCUUUUUGCUCUUAAAAGGGUGAGGUUGGAUUUGGAGGAUUAUUUUGCUGGCGGCUCUUCAACGAGCUUUGUUGGCUCCUCUGGAAUGCAUGAGCCUUCCUGUGCGCCGGCGAAGCGACUCUACGAUGUGAUAACCAUCUCCGUCGUACGUCGCGUUUGCUUUGGGCACGAACGAAGCGCGGAUCGCGUCUUUCAGGAUGCGUCCUUGACAAAUUUGACCUCAAAUCAGGUAGGACUACCCGCUGACUA
rnacentral:rRNA from 1 species